GUUCAAUGACUCUUUUACCCUUUUUCUUCCUUCUCCCUUAAAAAAUUUGACCUCAUCCUGAGCGUUAACCUAACUUCCUAAUUUGCCUCAGUUCGCACAGUGUCAUUGGUGUAGAACAUUCGCUCACAAAGGAAGGUCGUUCGCAGGGAAGGUUUUUUGUUGAUGGACGGUUGGCUCGCUGCUGUAGCUGAACGCAUAGUGGUGUUUGGUUGUUUCGUUUUGAAGUUGUUUGGUCUUUCAUUUUGAACCCAUUUUGGUAAUGUUGACAUGCAUAUGUACAGAAUGGAUCUGAAUGGGAGAAAAUGAUGAAUCUGGUGGAGAAGAUGGUGAGCAUACUGAUCCUUUAAGUAGUAUGGAUGGUGUUGGUGAAGAAGGUGAUUUAUUCGGAGGUGGAGGUUCUGGGAAUGAAGAACAUGGUAAAAUUAUCAUAAAUGCUUUGAUUGAUAUAGUAGACAUCGUCAUGAAGAAUUUAGAGGCUGAUGUUGUUAAAAGAUUGGAUUUUGGUGAUCUUGAGGCUGCAUAUGAGUUUUACUAUUGGUAUGCAAGAAUCAAUGGGUUUUGUAUUCGGAAGAGUAAAACUGAAAAAUAAAGUGUGAAAUAACACAGCAAACCUUUGUUUGUUCUAGAGAAGGUCGAAGAGAAGAUAGGGGAUUGACAAGUGAAACAAGAAAGCGUGAACCAAAGAAAGAAACUAGGUGUGAUUGCAAGGCCAAGUUUCGUGUUCAUGUAGACCUCCAUUGUCAGUGGUCUAUAACAGAGUUUACUGACCUACACAGCCACGAGCUUUUGGAGGACAGUUUAUGUUCCAUGUUACCAGCACAUAGGCGGAUGACUGUAGCUGAUAUUUUGCUAAUUGAAAACUUUAGAAAAGUUGGGAUAAGGCCUCCUCCAAUUCUUGGGGCAUUUGCGAACAGUUCAGGUGGAUAUGAUAAGAUUGGAUGGUGGAGGAAAGAUCUUUAUAAUCAUGUGGCAUGACAAAGAAGACAGCAAUACUCUGAUGCUAGUGGUGCCAUAAAGUUUCUUCGUGGCCUGAAAAAGAAAGACCCACUGGUGGAAGUUAGACACACGGUUGAUGAUGAUGGGAGAUUGCAACAUAUUUUUUGGUGUGAUGAAUAAAGCCAAUUAAACUAUGAAGUUUUUGGUGAUGUUGUAGCUUUUGAUGCAACAUACCGAAAGAAUAAGUAUAUGUUUCCCUUUGUCAUUUUUUUGGGUGUGAACCAUCAUAAUCAAACAAUAGUUUUUGCAACUUCCCUGGUUUCUAAUGAGACUGAGCAAACAUAUGUGUGGUUGUUGGAGCAAUUCAAGGAUGUUAUGAAAGGGAAGGAACCAUUUUCUUUGAUAACUGAUGGUGAUCUAGUUAUAAGAAAUUCAAUAAGGAGAGUAUUUCCUCGAGCACAUCAUAGAUUGUGUGCUUGGCAUUUACUUUGGAAUGCAAACUCCCAUGUUUGUAAUCCAGCAAUGAUGAACUACUUGAAGAAUUGCUUGCUGAUUAUGAUGUACCCAAAUUUGAAGAAUUAUGGAUGCAUAUGCUGAAUCAGUUUGAGUUGCAAGAAAACAAGUGGAUGAAAGAGUUGUAUGAGAAGAAAAAGAUGUGGGCCACCUCUCACAUAAGGGGGAGUUUUUUUUGCUGGAAUAAUGACAACCUCGAGAUGUGAAGCUUUUCAUAGUCAUCUUGCCAAGUUUGUGAACUUAAGGAUAUGUUUCACAGAUUUUGUUGAGCAAUUUCAAAGAUGCUUGAGUUAUUUUUGUUUGAAGAAAAAGAUGUGGGCCACCUCUCACAUAAGGGGGAGUUUUUUUUGCUGGAAUAAUGACAACCUCGAGAUGUGAAGCUUUUCAUAGUCAUCUUGCCAAGUUUGUGAACUUAAGGAUAUGUUUCACAGAUUUUGUUGAGCAAUUUCAAAGAUGCUUGAGUUAUUUUUGUUUGAAGAAAAAGAUGUGGGCCACCUCUCACAUAAGGGGGAGUUUUUUUUGCUGGAAUAAUGACAACCUCGAGAUGUGAAGCUUUUCAUAGUCAUCUUGCCAAGUUUGUGAACUUAAGGAUAUGUUUCACAGAUUUUGUUGAGCAAUUUCAAAGAUGCUUGAGUUAUUUUUGUUUCAGGGAAAUUGAAGCUGAUUUUGAUUCUGACUAUGGUGUUGUUACUCUACAAAGUGGUUUGCACUCAUUGGAGAGGUCAGCUUCUAAGGUAUUCACGAAGACGAUAUUUCAUAUGUUUAGGUGUAUGUUGAUAAGAGCACCAACAGUGAUGAGGGUAAGGGAAUGUCAUGAGACAUCAUUGUACUCCAUCUACUCUGUUUUGAAAUAUUGUGACUGUGGUAGCAUUUGCCAUGUAUGUUAUUGUCCCUCGACAUUUGAGUUUAAAUGCUCAUGUUUGAGGAUGGAAUCUUUUGGCCUACCAUGUGAUCACAUAGUCACAUUGUUGGUAGAGCUUGACUUUUCUGAAAUUCCUAAAUGUUUAGUGUUGGAUUGGUGGAAAAAAAAGUGCAAAAAAGUCUAUUCGUGGAAGAUAUGUAGAUAGUUCAACUUUCUGGGAUUCAAAUCUUUUGGCAAAGCAUGCCUAUUUGCAUUUCCUUUUUAGGGAGUUGGCAGAAGUUGCACAUCGGCAUGAUGAUGACUAUAAUCACAUUGUAGAUUUGCUUGCUGCUGAACUGAAAAAGUUGCGAGUAAAACAUGGGAACCAAUCUGUUGCUGAAUAAACUGGUAAUGAUACCAGUUUUUAGGGUCUUUUCUUUGCCAAUCUUUUUAGGGUCUUUUCUUUUGUUGUAUGGGUAUCCACUUUUUGUGGUUCUAUCUUUGUAGGUGGGGCUGGCAGAGUACUGCCUGUGUAUAUUCUGUUAUUCUUCAGUACUCCUAGUACUGAUUAUCUUUUAAUACUAUCAGAUUUUUGCUGUGAAAAAAAAAAAAAAUGAUACCAUUGACGAAAACAUUGAAGAUCCUAGUGCUGUUAGAACAAAGGGUUGUGGUGCAGCAAGCAAUGGUGGAUCAAGCAGAAGCAAGAGAAACAACCGUUGUCGCAAAUUUGGUGAACUUAGCCAUAAUAAAUGUUCGACAAGAAUGACUACAAAAAAGAGUCGAAUGUCACAAACUACACAUGGCGAUGCAUUGACUUUUGAGAUGCAAGUAGAGACUGUACACGGUUCAACCAAUGGUGCAGUGGAAGACAAUGUUCAGGCAACAUCAUUGGGACAGUGAAGAAAUUAGGAGCAAAAACCGACAUUUACAGGGUCUAAGCAGUUAUAAGUGCAUAAUUUUAACGUGCUAUUUAUGUUUAUUUUUCUAUUUGUUUUGGUGCAAUUAUUAUUGUAUGAUGGAUCCUUUUUGCAUGAAAGAUGUGUUCAAUGUAAUACCCUGUUGUGGCAACAUCAUCGUUUGCUUAAAUGUAAACAGAUUUAGUCACAUUUGGUUGCCAUAAAGUGACUCUAAAACGUGUUGUAGAAUUAACUUUUCUCCCA